UCACGAUUCUCGUAGCCUUAUUAAAUCCCUAUAUAAAUAAGUGAGGAGUGGUUCUAUUGUUAGGCUUGAAGAGAAAGCGCGGCCACACCACCACGAUGGGCGGCGACAACCUCAAGUUCCUCUGCAGCUACGACGGUAAAAUUCUUCCCCGCUACCCCGACGGCAAGCUCCGCUACCUCGGCGGCCACACCCGCCUCCUCUCCCUCCCUCGCUCCACUGCCUUCUCCGGGCUGCUUGUGAAGCUGGGAGACCUGUGCGGUUCCCCCGUCACUCACCUCCGCUGCCAACUACCUACCGAGGACCUCGACGCCUUGGUCUCCAUCACUUCCGAUGAGGAUCUCGCUAACCUUCUCGAGGAAUACGACCGCGUUUCAUCUUCCAAGAUCAGGCUCUUCCUUUCCUAUUCAUCCACCGCCAAAACUACGCCAUCCUCUUCUUCCUCUUCUUCUUCCUCAUCCUCGACGUCGUCGUUUCGCGCCCAAAUGUGUACCGGAACCAAGAAAUCCGCUGUCACUGCGAGAAAUUCCGCUUUCCCCUGCUAUGGUUACCGUGUCCCGGGAAACGCCGGUGGUGUUGUUUACCUCGUAAACAACUGCAACCACUGGCACUAGUGCCAGCUUAGCUUCGAUCCACGGAUGAUGGAACAGAACAACAAUUAAGAAACUAUUUUACUAAUUAAGAAAAGGAUGUGAAUUUAAAGAUAAUUAUAUAAAUGUGUACAUAUGUGAUAUAAAUCGCUGGGAAGGAUUGGAGUUUUAGAUUGUGAUCCUUGCUUUGACCAUUAAUGAAUUCCAGUCAGAUUUCGUUUCGAUCCAAAUUAGUGAUGGUUUGCGAGAUCUGGAGGAUACAAGAAACAAUCUUACAUACUGGCGUCUUCCUCUGCUCAAGUGAACCGUGAACACUGGACAUGUUGGGUUCGUGCUAUACUAUGAAUAGCAACAAAACCAGGGAUGGCAAUGCAAGUUGAAAACCCAUUCAUAGGCUAUGCAAUGCAAAGAGAUGACUCAUCAAGUGGCUCAAAUGGAAACUAUCUAAGGACGACAGCUGGAAUAUGAAUGAAUGUUCACUGGAAUAACUUGAACA